CCCGCUGCCGCCCGGGACGGGCUGAGCGUGGUGUUGGUUUUGUGAGGUAGCCAGGGACCCACCACUGCUGCCUUUCUGGGGCUGUUUAAGCUGUAUCUUAGCGUCUGGAUUUUAUUUCGCUGUCAUUUAGCCCAGCUGUGGGAUGAGCACGCUUUUGGCAGACAGCGCAGCUCUUUACAGCCAUUUUGUGAGGCGGUUUAGGUCUCGGUAUCGCUUCCAUUAGAGCAAGUAAAGCUUAAAAAGUAAACCUGUUUGGAAAAGGUUUAAGUAAGGUGGGCUAGGAUAGCUGAGUCAACUGAGCACAGCACCAUAAACGCGAGGGGGAGGAAAUUCAGUAAAAAGGCAGUGUUGUGCACAGCCUCAGCUUUGUGUGGUCCCUGGUUGCUUUGCUGUAUGCUGAUGAGUGAUAUUGGUUGGGAAACAGGUGGGCAGUAAAAUGAUGAACUGAGUUUGGAGAGAGGAAUAAGGAAUUGCCUUCCUGGCUGAGUGGUUAGGCUCUGCAGUCUACUUUAGGAGGGCUCAGUCUGUUCCGAGACUUUUCAGGAGUUUCUUGCGGAGUUUCAUCUGGAGGACUAAGAAAGUGGAGCCAGUGGCACUAUAUUGACUCCACUGAUACUAUCCUCCUACAUUAAAUGGUGGAAGAACAAGGCCUGCCUGUGAGAUAAAAGUCAGGACUUACUUGAUCUACCUACAAUGUUUUAAUUGCAGUCAGAGAAAGCAAGUUAAAAGUCAUAUGUUUCUGUAGUAAAAGGUUGGGUAUGUUUGUUUUAAAGCUGCAUUGAACUGUAUUUCAGGGCUAUUGUGUUGUCUCUUGUAUUUGUGCUUUUGACAUGUCUCACCUGUGUAAUUGCUCACAGGCCCUUUGUUCCUGGCUCCAGCACUGGGUGAGGAGGGACACUGGACAUGCCUUCGAUUACGAUCACUGUCACUGCCUUAGCUGUCCUGUGCCAUGCCUGGUGGUGACCAUGGGGCCAUUGUCCUGAGCAGACUGUCUAUACUCAGCCACCCAGCCUGCAUAUUCCAGUAGAUUCACCAAGCUGGCAGCAUAACAGCAGAGCUGUUUGGUACCUGUCGAGUCCCUCUGCAGGGGUGUCUGAGCACCUCACAUUUGGCUCAGGAAAUCUGCCCUUGCACAUUCCAGCAAGAGGGUUGUGAAGUCCUGCGGAUUUGCCAGUUCGGUUCACUAACUGGAAAGUAUUUUGCCAGGUUACAGCUAUGGUUUAAACACUUGAGAUGAAAGCUGGUGAUAGGGAGUGGAAUCAUGGGUUCACCAGCAGCCUUUGUGCAUUAGAGGCUCUCUUUGGAGGUUCAGAUACUCUGAUACCUGUGUGUUACACUCUUUCAGGUAUCUUGUUGAAAAUAAGAGUGGGGUGCUCAGUUCCUGGCUGAUGGGGUAAAACAUGUUCCAGUGGGUAAAAGUUGGACCCAGAGUCAAGGAGUGCAUUUUUAAGCAAAGAAUGCUGCUUUCUCACCACUUCAAUCCCCUGCACAGGAGAUGUUCCCUACAGCUGCUGUUCCCCAGGAUGGCCAUGCCAGCAUCAGCAGGGCACACAUGGCCACAAGCUGCUCUGCUCACUGGCAGACAAAGCAACUGAAGGUCUCUGGCCUGCUUACAGCAGGUCUGAUAAAGUGACCAUAGCAACCUUUUCUGCCCUGAAAACAUCUUAAAUCCUGGUAGGUUAAGAAAUGACCCUGUAUUGGUAUAGCUCAGUGUUGCUAAACCAGUCUUCUGAGGGAUUUCAAACAUACCCAAGAGCAGAUAGUACUAAUCACUGCUGUAGUGACAUACUCAGCUCCUGGUUUUGUGGUUUCUAAAGGCCUGUUUUGGCAAGACUUUUUUAAAGCUGUUUGAGAAAGAAAGACAAUCUUUUGACACACAGUUUUGUGUAAAAUUUCUUUAGUUUUGGCAAUGGCGUUUAUUUGUAGAGACCCUGCAUAUUGUAGAGGCCACUGCUUGCUCCUGGCAAUUCCCUAGAAUGAAAACUUGAACCAAUGAUAUUUGUAAUGAAUGUGCAAUAAAUCUGUGGAAAAGC